rnacentral:lncRNA from 1 species
GUGCGUCUCCUCCCCUUUAUGCCCGCGCCUCCGUGUACGGCCCGCCCAUAGCUCCUUCGACGGCGCCGCCUAGGAACGCGGAGAAAAUAUGACAAAGGAACGGCCAAAAAUAAAAAGAAAGACCUUUCUUUUGAAAAAACAAACAAAAAAAAGGAAUGCAACACGAGGACUUCCCAGGAGGUCACCCAUCCUAGUACUACUCUCGCCCAAGCACGCUUAACUUUGGAGUUCUGAUGGGAUCCGGUGCUUUAGUGCUGGUAUGAUCGCAUCCGACAUACCGUGCGUUCUCCUCCCCUUUAUGCCCGCGCCUCCGUGUACGGCCCGCCCAUAGCUCCUUCGACGGCGCCGCCUAGGAACGCGGAGAAAAUAUGACAAAGGAACGGCAAAAAUAAAAAGAAAGACCUUUCUUUUGAAAAAACAAACAAAAAAAAGGAAUGCAACACGAGGACUUCCCAGGAGGUCACCCAUCCUAGUACUACUCUCGCCCAAGCACGCUUAACUUCGGAGUUCUGAUGGGAUCCGGUGCUUUAGUGCUGGUAUGAUCGCAUCCGACAUACCGUGCGUUCUCCUCCCCUUUAUGCCCGCGCCUCCGUGUACGGCCCGCCCAUAGCUCCUUCGACGGCGCCGCCUAGGAACGCGGACGAACAAUUAUGACAAAGGAACGGCCAAAAAUACAAAGAAAGACCUUUCUUUUGAAAAAACAAACAAAAACCAGGAAUGCAACACGAAGGGACUUCCCAGGCAGGUCACCCCAUCCUAGUUACUACUCUCGCCCAAGCACGCUUAACUUCGGAGUUCUGAUGGGAUCCGGUGCUUUAGUGCUGGUAUGAUCGCAUCCCGACAUACCGUGCGUUCUCCUCCCCUUUAUGCCCGCGCCUCCGUGU